rnacentral:rRNA from 1 species
AUUGAACGCUGGCGGCAGGCCUAACACAUGCAAGUCGAGCGAGCGGCGGACGGGUGAGUAAUGUCUGGGAGACUGCCUGAUGGAGGGGGAUAACUACUGGAGACGGUAGCUAAAACCGCAUACCAUCAGAUGUGCCCAGAUGGGAUUAGCGAGUAGGGGGGGUAAUGGCUCACCUAGGCGACGAUCCCGAGCUGGUCGGAGAGGAUGACCAGCCACACUGGAACUGUGACACGGUCCAGACUCCUACGUGAGGCAGCAGUGGGGAAUAUUGCACAAUGGGCGCAAGCCUGAUGCAGCCAUGCCGCGUGUGUGAAGAAGGCCUUCGGGUUGUAAAGUACUUUCAGCGGUGAGGCGUUACCCGCAGAAGAAGCACCGGCUAACUCCGUGCCAGCAGCCGCGGUAAUUC